UUUCUAUCAAAAUCGAUAGAUCCCAUCUUGAUGUGCACCCUAUUUCUACAGUGGACCAACUGUCACCAACAUCUACUACAAGGGCUCAUUGACAUCAUAUUUAUGUAUCAGUCAAAUUUCAGCAGUCUCACUGUGAGUAAUCAUACUAUCGUAGGUCAAAAGAUCAUUCACACAACUACAGCAUCAAGAUAAUUACUGACAAUCGAGUAAAAAUCUAAGUGAUCUCUCAUAUGGUCAUGCUCAGUACUAAUUAUUCUCUAAUAAUUACCAACACUCAUCGCUCAGUAUCUUUACACGGU
rnacentral:lncRNA from 1 species